rnacentral:rRNA from 1 species
UACGAGAGACCCGAACGUUAUUCGGAAUUACUGGGCUUACAGAGUUCGUAGGCGGCUCAGAAAGUUGGGUGUGAAAUCCCUCGGCUCAACCGAGGAAUUGCGCUCAAAACUACUGAGCUUGAGGGGUAUAGAGGUAAGCGGAACUGAUGGUGGAGCGGUGAAAUGCGUUGAUAUCAUCAGGAACACCGGUGGCGAAGGCGGCUUACUGGGUACCUCCUGACGCUGAGGAGCGAAAGCAUGGGUAGCGAACAGG